rnacentral:lncRNA from 1 species
AAGCAAAAUACGGCUACAAAGUAAGAAACUCACAAGCAAAAACAAUGGCAACUUCAGCAAUCCAACAAUCUACAUUUGCAGGCCUGACAACAUUGAAGUCCCAGAAUCAGCUCUGAAAGUUUAGGGAUCGUUCUACAACCACUUGGAAAUUCACGGAGAACGUUAUGUUACGUCAAAUUCAAGUUUUAAAUAUUACCAAGUUUACGUUCCAAUUAAUUUAUUAUUCGAACUCAUUGCAGAAUUGAUUCAUCAGAGCAACACGUCAUUUUAAUUAAUUGUUUAGGUGAUUAAACAUACAGUCCAGUUAAUUCCUAUGUUGAACUGCUGAUUUACGUAAAGUAAAUAAAACAAUGCAAAACACAACUUACGAUAUGAUAACAGAGAAGCCCCAACGUGGGUAAAACUCGGGGACCAAGCCAGUAGUUUUCACUAUACCAAUCCAGUAAGUACAAGUUAUGCCAAACUUCGUACUAAGUCAGAGCCGCUGUUCCAGUCUCACAAUCUACUGUCGUAGAUACUGAUAGUCUUCUGCUAGCUUCCCGAUCUACUUCCUACAACCCAAUUUGCUAUCCAAUACAACCUUCUGGUCUCUAGCUGAUUGUAUCACCAAGUGGAAUUCCAAAAACCUCCUAUUCUUGUCCAGUUCCUGCACUUGUCAUCCACCUCUCUCGAUCUCCCAAUGAGAGAGUCCCUUCCUCAAUAGAUGAAGAAGUCCAGGUGUUUUAUAUUCACAAACUUUGAUGUUUUCCCCACACGGUCGGUUGCCGGAUCACAAGAAUUGGAUUGAUGAAUUCUCCAGUAGAUUGCGUUUUUGGAUCUCUUCACAAUGAUAUGAAUAUGUUCUUCUAUGAAAGCAUAAUGAAGCAACC